UCCCUAGUGGCUCAGAUGGUAAAGCAUCUGCCUACAAUGUGGGAGACCCAGGUUCGAUUCAUGGGUUGGGAA
rnacentral:tRNA from 1 species